rnacentral:rRNA from 1 species
UACAGAGGUCUCAAGCGUUGCUCGGAUUCAUUGGGCGUAAAGGGUGCGUAGGUGGCGCUGUAAGUCGGGUGUGAAAUUUCGGAGCUUAACUCCGAAACUGCAUUCGAUACUGCGGUGCUUGAGGACUGGAGAGGAGACUGGAAUUCCUGGUGUAGCGGUGAAAUGCGCAGAUAUCAGGAGGAACACCGGUGGCGAAGGCGGGUCUCUGGGCCGAUACUGACGCUGAGGAGCGAAAGCGUGGGGAGCGAACAGG